rnacentral:lncRNA from 10 species
CAUCCCAUUACUGGGUAUAUACCCAAAGGCCUAUAAAUCAUGCUGCUAUAAAGACACAUGCACACGUAUGUUUAUUGCGGCACUAUUCGCAAUAGUAAAGACUUGGAAGCAACCCAAAUGUCCAACAAUGAUAGACUAGAUUAAGAAAAUGUGGCACAUAUACACCAUGGAAUACUAUGCAGCCAUACAAAAUGAUGAGUUCAUGUCCUUUGUAGGGACACGGAUGAAAUUGGAAAUCAUCAUUCUCAGUAAACUGUCGGAAGGACAAAAAACCAAACACUGCAUGUUCUCACUCAUAGGUGAGAAUUGAACAAUGAGAACACAAGGACACAGGAAGGGGAA